AGUGAACGCUGGCGGUAGGCCUAACACAUGCAAGUCGAACGGCAGCACAGGAGAGCUUGCUCGCUGGGUGGCGAGUGGCGGACGGGUGAGGAAUACAUCGGCAUCUACUCUGUCGUGGGAUGACGUAGGGAAACUUACGCUAAUACCGCAGACGACCUACGUGUCAAAGCAGGGGACCUUCGGGCCUUGCGCGAUUGAAUGAGCCGAUGUCGGAUUAGCUAGUUGGCGGGGUAAAGGCCCACCAAGGCGACGAUCCGUAGCUGGUCUGAGAGGAUGAUCAGCCACACUGGAACUGAGACACGGUCCAGACUCCUACGGGAGGCAGCAGUGGGGAAUAUUGGACAAUGGGCGCAAGCCUGGUCCAGCCAUACCGCGUGGGUGAAGAAGGCCUUCGGGUUGUAAAGCCCUUUUGUUGGGAAAGAAAUCCAGCAGGCUAAUACCCGGUUGGGAUGACGGUACCCAAAGAAUAAGCACCGGCUAACUUCGUGCCAGCAGCCGCCGUAA
rnacentral:rRNA from 1 species